rnacentral:lncRNA from 1 species
CACUAACAUAAGACAGAUUUACUGGAAAAGGCAUAAAAGUUUUAAUAUUUUUGUACAUGCACAGGAGGCUUUGUAAGAAAAAUAAAGACCCAUAGAAGUUACUAGGCCCGAAAGCUUAUAUGUCCUUUUAAACAAAAAAUAAUAAAUUGCAGGGAUGUGACAAGACAAAGGGGCUUGGGCUAAGGCUGGCAAAUUGUGGGAAAGUGACGAAGAACCGUUAAGUCUAGGAAACCCAGGAUCAUGAAGAGAGGGCAUGUUCUUCCAAGUGAGGCUGAGGAGAGACUUGUCUGGCGAGGCCUGUACUGACUAGUGACAUUAAAAGAGGCGAUCUGACUUCUCAUACUGCUCUUGUCCCAGGCCUGCUGUUUGUCAACUGCUGGGUCCUCAGAGCCAAAACUGUUUUCCAACAGUUUUGAAUUGAAUAACAGCCAGCUAUUCGAUUUUCUCCGCAUUCUCUAAUCGGUAUACUCUUCAGAGUCCACAGGAUUUGCAACGAUAUUAUCCAACGGCUGAAGAAUGUGCGCUUGACAUCUUAGGCUGUAAAAUGUCUCAAUUUCAAUUUCUAAUACAUAGAUGUCAGUGGAUGGCAUUUUCUGAACCCUUUGUCGAUGUCCAUAAACGGCAUGCUCUGAAUUCAACUAAACAAAAGUAUAGACAUGGGGGAGGUGUAGGGCGAUGUCCAAAGUAUAAUUUUUAAGAGUGUAAAGGGUUCCUAAGUAAGAUUGCCAGAUUUUUUUUUUUUUUUUGAGACGGAGUCUCACUCUAUCCCCCAGGCUGGAGUGCAAUGGCGCGAUCUUGGCUCACUGCAGCCUCCACCUCCCGCGCUCAAGAGAUUCUUCUGCCGCAGCCUCCAGGGUAGCUGGGAUUACCCCAGAGCCCGCCACUGAGCCCGGCUAAUUUUUGUAUAUUUAUUAGAGAAGGGGUUUCACCACGUUGGCCAGGCUGAUCUCGAACUCCUGAGCUCAAGUAAUCCGCCGGCCUUGGUCUCCCAAAGUGCUGGGAUUGCAGGCGUGAGCCACCACGCCAGACCUGGAUUGCCAGAUUUAGCACAUAAAAAUACAGGACCCCCAGUUAAACGCCUCUCGGAUAAACCAUUAUUGCAUGGGAUACACUCACGCUAAAAAAAUUGUUCGUCGUUUACCUGAAAGUCACAUUUAAUUGGGCGUCCUGUAUUUUACCCGGCAAAUUCUAGGCCUGAGACCAAAAAGUUUG